GUGCCAGCCGCCGCGGUAAUACAGAGGGUGCAAGCGUUAAUCGGAAUUACUGGGCGUAAAGCGCGCGUAGGUGGUUCGUUAAGUUGGAUGUGAAAUCCCCGGGCUCAACCUGGGAACUGCAUUCAAAACUGACGAGCUAGAGUAUGGUAGAGGGUGGUGGAAUUUCCUGUGUAGCGGUGAAAUGCGUAGAUAUAGGAAGGAACACCAGUGGCGAAGGCGACCACCUGGACUGAUACUGACACUGAGGUGCGAAAGCGUGGGGAGCAAACAGGAUUAGAUACCCGAGUAGUCC
rnacentral:rRNA from 1 species